GACGAACGCUGGCGGCGUGCUUAACACAUGCAAGUCGAACGGAAAGGCCCUGCUUGCAGGGUACUCGAGUGGCGAACGGGUGAGUAACACGUGGGUGAUCUGCCCUGCACUUCGGGAUAAGCUUGGGAAACUGGGUCUAAUACCGGAUAGGAGCCAUCUUUAGUGUGGUGGUUGGAAAGUUUUUUCGGUGUAGGAUGAGCUCGCGGCCUAUCAGCUUGUUGGUGGGGUAAUGGCCUACCAAGGCGGCGACGGGUAGCCGGCCUGAGAGGGUGUACGGCCAAUUGGGACAGGAUAUGGGACCAAGGCCCGGGGGGAGGGCAGCAGGGGGAGAUAGGGAAAAAGGGGCGACAGCUGGAUGAAGCAGGGCAGGGGGGGGAAGGACGGCCUGGGGUUUGUAACUCCUUUUGGCUGGGGAAAAAGUUUUGUGGGGACGAACCCAAAUAAAAAAGCCCGGGCAAACUGCGUG
rnacentral:rRNA from 1 species